UAGCUCAGUGGCACAGCACCUGCCUGGCAAGCAGGAGGUUGUGGGUUUGAUUUCCAGC
rnacentral:tRNA from 1 species